AUCCAACUGACGAGUCCCAAAUAGGACAAAACAUGCGUUUUGGAU
rnacentral:hammerhead_ribozyme from 1 species